rnacentral:rRNA from 1 species
GACAGAGGCCACGAACGUUGUUCGGAAUCACUGGGCAUAAAGCGCACGUAGGCGGCUAGGUCCGUCGGAUGUGAAAGCCCCCGGCUCAACCGGGGAAUAGCAUCCGAUACAGCCUGGCUUGAGGACGGUUGGGGUGAGUGGAACUCCUGGUGGAGCGGUGAAAUGCGUAGAUAUCAGGAGGAACACCGGUGGCGAAAGCGGCUCACUGGACCGUUACUGACGCUGAGGUGCGAAAGGUCUAGGGGAGCAAACGGGG